UGCGAACACGUGGCUAUGACUGAGGAUCUAUCAUUAACAAAUGGCCAACAGGCAGUGAAUCGCUCUGCACAGGGUGCCUUGGGAAUCCAACAAAUGCCAACACUAACCACCAAAUGAUAAUAAUGGGAAAAUGCUUAAUCCAAGGAAAAUAAUGAAUGUUGAGUAUCAGAUACCCCUUCAAAUGCUUAAAAAAAACCGUUAUCUCCCUUAAGGUCUCAAACCGAAAUAACGCUUUGGUUCCCUCUCCUUCUCUCUUCUCACUGUUUUACUAAAUCCAAACCCUCUUCUCUGUUAGUAAAAGAAAACCUUAACCCAACAACUUAAAAACAACAACAAAAGCGAUCCCUUUCUCAAAGAUUCAAACAUCCGCAAGCGAAAGCUUAAGAUUCACAAAAUAACCAAACAAAUCAAAGCAAUAUGAUGAGAGAUACGCAAUAUUUCUACAAAAAGGCAUAAGGAUUAAUGCAGAAGGAAGUGAUAUAAAGCUCGCCGGAAAACAGAGGUUCUGACGAGCGUACCGGCAACGUGAACCAACCUCGAGGGGCUUAGCUCAGUUAUCUCAAAGUUCUAGUGAUGAACUCUGAGUAAAUUACGGGAAUAUUUUGAGCUUUGGUGAUGGGUGCGAGUGAGAUUUCAGCAGAGUAACGGUGCAAAGAUUAUGUCCCUUUUACGAUGACUCUCACCAUCUAUUUAUAGAGCCUUCUCCUUGGAUCCUCAAAUCAUGAGCUGUCAAAUCUAUCCAAAAUCAUUUCGUUAGAGAGGAAUUUUUCGCUGGAUUUCGUGGGGACCAAAGGUAUGUGAGUUAUUUCCCCGUUUUGUCUGUAGCGAAAUCCACCAAAAAGUGUGGUCCUGUAUUAGCUCCAUUUUACUGUUGUGGAAUCCUUGUGUGUUUGUGGUAAAACUCUCAGUUUUUACUGUCUUAUUCAUAACUCAUGCUUUACCAUAAUUUUUUUUAACCCGCGGGUCCGUUUUGAGUUCUAACUUGUGUUUUUUUCACCUAUUCCUCAAUGCUUGUGCAUGAAAAUGUGGACGAGAUUAUUUUGUGCCUUUUGUCCUGAUAGAGCUUUCUACUUGAUCCCUCACUCCUCAAAUUCUGGACUUCUGUAUGCGUUGCUGAUGCCUGCUCAUAGUGAUGGACCAUUGUUGUUUUUGUUUGCUGUUGACGCAUUGUCGGAUAUUGUUAUGAUCAGGAUGUAUUUUGGCUAGUGGAUGCAGUAUUCUACGGCAGGGUUAUGUUGUGGUAUGCUCCUAUCGGCAAGUAAUUCCGGGCUGGUGUAGAGCAGCAACAUUUUGUCCUGUUCGGCCUUAGGCUUGUUCAAUAAUGCGGGACAUUGGCCACAAGGUCUCAUGGUUUCCGGUCGGUAUACCACAACCACCUCUUGCUCGUAGCAUUGGCUUGCAGCACUAGCUACCAAUGCUUGCGAAGUGCUAAGUCACGAUUUCAUUAUGCCGUUGAUACUCAGUUUGGUGCGGUUUUUUGAAGGAACAUUGACACUGCAGGGGUGAUGCAUACUUUAUCAUGUUGGUUCACAAAGCAAGCGUAGCAAUUCGCAUUUUGUAAUGACCUUGGACUUUGGCUUGUCUUGUAAGUAGAAUCUAAGACUUCACAUCACGGUUGCAAUCGGGUAUUGUUGAUUUUACCGACGUAGCCAAUGUCAUGAUAGUUUUGGUACGGAUGUGAUAUUCGGCUGGUGAAUAUAUCUCGGUUGAUGCAUACAGCAUGAGAGAAUUCCCAGGGUGGUUUCAUCUAUUAUGAACCUAUCCACUGUAACUUUUUCUUCAACUUGUUAUUUCUGGCGUUGUUGGUAUUUCAGGGCCAUGGUUAUUGAGACGAACUGACUUAUGGCGACAUGAAUGGUUGUUGACCAAGGUCUUUUCUCCACGCAUCAUGAUGUUGUAACACGUCUAUACCUGUUUUAAAAUUUGCAUAAUUAGUGUUUCUGCAGGCUGAACUUAACUAAUGUGAUGAUGACAUUUGGUUCCGCGGCCGUUUGAGCUGCUAUGAAUGAUGAAUUUGAUUCCAACUUAACGGCUUUGCUUUGUCUAAUGGAUCUUAUCAUGAUUGCUUUCCAAUGAUGUACUUGGUAAUCUUGUGACUACUUGAUAGUAAAUGCAGGUACAUGACACAUUGAUACAUGAUUUUCGAGCCUUGGCUUCUGUUUCAAUUGAAGCGGCAUUUCACAUGACCGAGACCGAGCUCCAGUCCGUGCCAGUCUGUGCCUAGAAAUGCAUCCUUUGGAAUUUCUCAAGAACGAGUGUCCUGCUAUUCUGCAUCAACUAGUACAAUCCUGUUUCGACCUUAGGUGAUUCCUUUCAGAAGGAUAUUGCGUUUGCAAAUAAUCCCUGCCCACAUCAGUAACUUUUGGAACCUUAUCAAGUUGUAAAGAGCUUAGCUAAAGAUUUCUCAGGCUGCAUUAUGGCUUUUUCGGGCAGCAUUUUAUUUAGCUAGUGUGGACUAGUACUAUUGAUGUUCAUUAUCAUCGAAACAUCCUUUGAGUGCUUGAAGAGUUUUGAAUGAGGCAGGUGAAUUUUCCAAAUUUUGACGAUUGUCGGAUCCGUCCUCCUUGGCUAGUGUGGAUGUGGCCUCUUACUGAUUAGAAGCAGAUUGAAACCUCCAAGUCAUUUGAUUCCUUUUUAUUUGUAUCUUGCUUUUUGUAAUGGACAUGUUUUCCUUUUAAAUGAGAGCAAUCUUAAUUACAAUUUAAAA